GAACAAAAGGGGAGAUUUCAACACUCAGUAGUACAAAAUAAUAUCUCGACAACACUUCAAGAAUGGACGUCCAAGCAGAGAACAAAUGUAGCAGCCAGAAUUUAGGAAGAAAAAUAAACGAGAUUCAGCAACUAGAAUUCGGCAGCAACAAAGGAGAGUUGAGGGAGGGAAAACGAUUGUAAGUGGGGAACAAAAGCAAAAGAAAAUAGAGGAAACGAUUUGGAAAAAGAAGAAGAAAAAAUAAAACACUCGGCAGAGAAAACAAGGAAGUAGAAGGGAAAAACGGAUAGAAAGUUGGGAGUGUGAGAGGAGGAGUUUCAAAUUAUCCGUUUUUCUAACCAGGUACUUUUUAUCACUUAACACAAUAAAUUCCUUUAUUAUGGUAGAGAGGAGGAGUUAGGAUAAAAAGGGGAGGUACUUUUUUAUUUUUAUUUUUUUAUAAGUGAGGAAUUUAUUGUGUUAAGUGAUAAUAAACGGUUUAUUUUAAAUUAAUUAUAUAAAUU
rnacentral:lncRNA from 1 species